rnacentral:rRNA from 1 species
UACAGAGGUCUCGAGCGUUAGGCGGAAUCACUGGGCUUAAAGCGUGUGUAGGCGGAUCGUUAAGUACCUUGUGAAAUCCCACGGCUUAACUGUGGAACUGCUUGGUAUACUGCCAGUCUUGAGCCAGCUAGGGGCUACCGGAACAAAUGGUGGAGCGGUGAAAUGCGUAGAUAUCAUUUGGAACGCCAAUGGUGAAAACAGGUAGCUGGGGCUGUGCUGACGCUGAGACACGAAAGCCAGGGGAGCAAACGGG